CUGGCACAGCCUAAACUUUCAAAACGCAGCAUAAUUUGUACUCAAAAUGAGUAAGAACUUUAAGCAAAAAUAUGGACCGGAGUUGGAAGCCCAGCCGGACAGAAAUGCAUUUCUUUGCAGGAGUAAAAAUUCAGCGGGUGCACAUUGCAAGGCUUGCAAAAUAGACUUCAAGAGUCGCAUUGCCUCAAAAACAUAAAGACAAAAUUAAACUCUUGUGGCCCAUCUAAGAUUGAUUUGUUUGUGGAGGACAGAAGCAAAACUGUUGGCGCCAAAGAAGAAGAGCAGAACUUAUGUUUGUAGCUUAUUUGUUUUCAAUUGAUUUGAGUAGCGAGAAAGCAGAGGACUUGUUCGAAUCUUUAAAUAAUGGAAUAAAAUAAUUUGAUUUCG